CCUUACUCUACCUUCCUGCUCUCUCUGCAGGAUGUGCUCAGCUAGGAUACUUUGUUAUAGGUCUGCUUCCUGAUUAAGAGGCAGACUUUUAAGAAACAGGCAGAGGGGUGUAGGAAAAGGCCUCGAGUAUACAUUAGAGUAAAAACUUGCAUUGGCCCAUCUCAGUCUUUCCCAGCUGGAGCACCGUGGUUCUGCAAAAAGACAGCAGAGCUGGCAGGGAAAGAGGUUGGAGGAUGAGCUGAAACGGAUGAAAACAGCUAAAGGUGCUUGCAGAUCUACACAGAAGAGUGCUUCCUCUUUCAUGCUCUUCUCCUUCCCCAUGAGUGGCAGCAAUGUGAAUGCAAACAAUCGUUUUCAUGGACACUGAAAAACAAGCAAUUAUGGAAUAAAAGCCCUUCUGUUUCUGCUGGCAGUGGAUGAAGUGACAGGAACCUUAAUUAUGCUCAAAUUCACGGUAAUAUAAAAUGCAGGAAGUGAGAAAAUCAUCAGGGCUUAAAAAAAUGUCUUUUUUUGCUUUUUUAUGGUGUUGUGAAAUUGUUCUGGAUGUGGGCCAAAUCCACUCAUCAGUGAUGCUGAUGUAAAUUAAAAGAAGCAGUGUUUACUUACAGUGAAACCGUAUCUUGCAUGUUAACUCGUGUAACUUAAAGUGUAACUUAAAGCAUGGUUUGCCACAUACCCCAAAGGGAAGGUAAUUUUCACCAGCUGUCUAAUUGCAUGUAAAGCAACUAAACAAUUGUCCUCCA